UAGUAUAAUUACAUCCACAUUCGAUUUCCACUUGAUAACCAUAGUUAGUUCGUUGUCCUAGCUAUGUACUUAGUUCACUUAGACAAAUUAGUUUUCUGUUGUGAGUCAAUUUUUUUGUUAGAGUUGUUGUAACAACUUUUCUCUACCAUGUAAUUUUUCUUGACUCUAUAAAUAAAAUCUUAUACAUUAAGAAGGUUUCUAAGUUGAAAAGCAAUACUUCUGGCUGAUUUUCCAAUCCUCAAUCUCUUAAUAGCUAUUGUUUUCAUAAGCUCAUUCAUGGUAUCAAGAGCCCUAGACUAACAUCAACACGGAUUCUUCAGCUCAUAUCUCUCUUUCUUCGACCGAUCAGCCCUCUGCUCCUCCAGAGGUGACAACGACCUUUUCUUCCUUGACCGAUUCAACCUUUAUUCCUCUUCAGGCGAGGACAACGGUUCAAGCUUUUCAGGCGGCGACCCCUGAUCGAUAGCCAAUCCCAUGUCCUUUCACGCAUGGAAUCCAUUUUCCAAUUCUCUUACUUCGUCUCUCACGAUCAAACUUGAUCGAUCUAACUUUCUUGCUUGGAAAUCACAGGUUGUUCCUACUGUAAUUGGUCACGAUCUUGAUGCACUUCUUUUCAGUAGUGUUACCCCAACUCAGCAAUUAGUCACUGGAGAAGCUAAUCUUGAGUAAAUUCAAUGGAAAAGAAAGGAUCAACUCCUUCUGUCUUGGCUCACAUCUUGUAUGACCGAAGGGAUUCUUGCAUUUGUUGCUACAUACACCACUUCUGCUUCUGUGUGGCGUGCUCUUGAACACAAGUUCUCUAGUCAAUCAAAGGCUCGCUUUCUGCAGCUUAAUGGUCAAAUAACCAAUAUUCAGAAAGGUAAUCUUUCCAUUUCUAAUUAUGUUGACAAAUUUAAACUGAUCUGUUACAAUUUAGCAAGUGCUGGAUGUUAUGUUGUUGAUGACGAUCUAGUUUUACAACUCCUGAAUGGUCUUGGACCUGAAUUUGAUUUGGUGGUGUCGGGUAUCACUUCUCGUGGCGAUUCUUUAAAUCUUGAGCAAUAUAGGCAUUGCUAAUGGCUUAUGAGAGUCAUCUUGAACGUCAUCAUAAAAUGGAAGAUCUCUCCAAUAAAAUGGGUGUGAACCUUACUUUUGGUGCUUCAAGAAAUGGGUCCUCUGGUGAUUACAAGACCAAUUCCACUCUAGUAGGGGUGCUCUCUAUGAUUCUGCUUGAAGAACCUAUGGUCGAAGCUACUCUCGUGGUCCUCCUCCCCCAACAAGACCAAUAUGUCAAGCGUGUUUGAAAUUUGGUCAUACAACUGUCGUGUGCCACUACAGGUUUGACAAAGGCUUCAUUACUCUCAAAGCUGAAACCACUCAACAUCGGGCGUAUCUAACUGAGCAAGAACUUGACCAUGAUCCCCAGGCCUAUGUCACCUUUUCGGUGCCAGAUUUUGGUGAUGAUGGUGGUUGGUAUGAAAAUACUGGUGCAACUAAUCACGUUGCUUAUGCCAUGGAACACUUGGAUUCUGCAGUCCCAUAUAAUGGCAAUGAAACCUUAGUUUUUGGGAAUGGACAAGUAGUCGGGGAGUGUCAUGCACAAAUGGAGAGUUAGAGAUGGGUUGUAUAUGCUUGGUGAGGAUUCUCAAAGUUAAAAGAAGGACUUCUUUGUAGUGUAAUCUUGCAACACGGUCAAAGCCCAGUUCAACCUCUUGUCUUCAUUCCACUCCACUGCCUGAGUCUUGUUUAGUUUCUAAUGGUAAAAAAUGUUGUAAGCAUUAUGUUCCCAAUUCAGAUUGUAAUGAUACUUCUAUUAUUAAAGAACACAGUUCCACUUUCUGUGUUGAUUCACAACCAAAAUUAUACUCUUGUUCUAUCACCCAAGAUGUUAAUAUAUGGCAUUGUAAACUUGGGCAUCCUUGUUCUGGAGUUUUAAGAAAAAUCUUGUCUCUUAUUCCUCA